rnacentral:rRNA from 1 species
AUUGAACGCUGGCGGCAUGCCUUACACAUGCAAGUCGAACGGCAGCGCGGACUUCGGUCUGGCGGCGAGUGGCGAACGGGUGAGUAAUGCAUCGGAACGUACCUUUCAGUGGGGGAUAACGUAGCGAAAGUUACGCUAAUACCGCAUAUUCUGUGAGCAGGAAAGCAGGGGAUCGCAAGACCUUGCGCUGAUUGAGCGGCCGAUGUCAGAUUAGCUAGUUGGUGAGGUAAAGGCUCACCAAGGCGACGAUCUGUAGCGGGUCUGAGAGGAUGAUCCGCCACACUGGGAAUGAGACACGGCCCAGACUCCUACGGGGGGCAGCAGUGGGGAAUUUUGGACAAUGGGGGCAACCCUGAUCCAGCCAUGCCGCGUGAGUGAAGAAGGCCUUCGGGUUGUAAAGCUCUUUCGGCCGGGAAGAAAUCGCAUGGGUUAAUACCCUGUGUGGAUGACGGUACCGGAAUAAGAAGCACCGGCUAACUACGUGCCAGCAGCCGCCGCAGUAA